rfam:Sorghum bicolor cultivar BTx623 chromosome 7, whole genome shotgun sequence.
GUUGUCGUAUUCACAUCAAUUCAUAUGUGUUGAGGUGGAUUGGAGUGGAAUUUGAACUAAAUUCCAUUCCAAUCCACACUAACACACAUGGAUGGAUUAAAGUGAAUAUGACA